rnacentral:rRNA from 1 species
GAUGAACGCUGGCGGCGUGCCUAAUACAUGCAAGUCGAGCGAACGGACGAGAAUCUUUCUUCUCUGAUGUUAGCGGCGGACGGGUGAGUAACACGUGGAUAACCUACCUAUAAGACUGGGAUAACUUCGGGAAACCUGAUCUAAUACCGGUUGAUAUUUUGAACCGCAUGGUUCUAAAGUGAACGACGGUCUUGCUGUCACUUAUAGAUGGAUCCGCGCUGCAUUAGCUAGUUGGUAAGGUAACGGCUUACCAAGGCAACGAUGCAUAGCCGACCUGAGAGGAUGAUCGGCCACACUGGAACUGAGACACGGUCCAGACUCCUACGGGAGGCAGCAGUAGGGAAUAUUGCACAAUGGGCGAAAGCCUGACGGAGCAACGCCGCGUGAGUGAUGAAGGUCUUCGGAUCGUAAAACUCUGUUAGUAGGGAAGAACAUAAGUGUAAGUAACUGUGCACAUCUUGACGGUACCUAAUCAGAAAGCCACGGCUAACUACGUG